UGGUUGAUUCUGCCAGUAACUAUAUGCUAGUCUCAAAGAUUAAGCCAUGCAAGUAUAAGUAUAAACCAAUUUUUAAGGUAACACCGCGAAAGGCUCAUUAAAAAAUUUAUAAUUUAAAUAAAAAUAAGGGAUAACUGUGGUAAUUCUACAGAUAAUACUGAUAAAACUUGUUUAAUUUUAAUAUUAAAUAGUAAACUUUUUUUUAAAAAAAAGUGAUAUUAUAUAAAUAAAUAAUCCAUCAUACUAGUUUUGAAGGUAGUGACUUCAAAAGGUAAUUACAGAUAACGGGGAAUUAGGGUUUGAUUCCGGAGAUGGAGCCUGAGAAAUAGCUACAACUUCUAAGGAAGGCAGCAGGCGCGCAAAUUACCCAAUUAUAGAAAAUAUAGAGGUAGUGACAAGAUGUAUUUUUUAUUUUAAAAAAAAAGAAUAUUUUUAGUAAAAAUAAAAAUUAUUAAAUAGAGGGAAAGUCUGGUGCCAGCAGCCGCGGUAAUUCCAGUUCUAUUAGUUUAUGUUAUGAUUGUUGCAGUUAAAACGCUCGUAGCUUAAUUUAUAAUAUUAUGAGUAAAAUAAAAGGAUUAAAAUAAAGAUUUUUAAUUUUAAAAAAAAGAAUUAUAUUGAAUAAAUAGCAUAAUACAUAAUAAUAAACAAUACAUUAAUGAAUUUUUAAUUUUUUGGGAAGGGGUGAAAUCCAGUGAUCCAAAUAAGAAAAACAAAGGCGAAAGCAAAAAACAGAAUGUAAUUGGUUAGCAAAGAGCAAAAGUUGAGGGAGCAAAAACGAUUAGAUACCGUUGUAGUCUCAACAGUAAGCUAUGCCGGUGAAUUGGACGUUUUUUAAUUAAAUUUUUAUUAUAAAUGUUCAAAUAGUAGAAAUUAGAACCAGGUUCUGGGGGGAGUAUGGUCACAAGACUGAAACUUGAAAGAAUUGACGGAAAGGCACCACCAGGAAUGGGGUGUGCGGUUUAAUUUGACUCAACACGGGGAAAUUUACCAAGGCCAAAUAUUUAAUGAUUGACGAUUUAAAGGGUUUUCAUAAAAAUAUAGUAGUGGUGCAUGGCCGUUCUUUGUUCGUGGAAUCAUCUGUCAGGUUGAUUCCGAUAACGAGCGAGACGAUAGUAUUAAAUUUAGGAUUAAUAAAAUAUCAUUUUUAAAAUGAGAGAAUAUUGCGAUAACAGGUCAGUGAUGCCCUUUGAUGUCUUGGGCAACACGCGCGCUACAAUAAUUAAUAUAGAAAGGUAUACAGAUUAGAAAUGAUUUGUUAAACAAAAAGAUUAAUUGUAGUUAGGAUUGUAUUUUGGAAUAUUACAUGAAUUAGGAAUUCCUUGUAAUCACUUUUCAGCAUAAAGUGAUGAAUGCGUCCCUGCCUUUUGUACACACCGCCCGUCGCUACUACCGAUGAGUUAUUAGGCGAGGAUUUUGGAUAAAGAUUGGUAUUUACAUGACUAGAAGAAAUUCCAAGCCUUAUAGCUUAGAGGAAGUACAAGUCGUAACAAGGUUUCCGUAGGGGAACCUGCGGAAGGAUCAU
rnacentral:rRNA from 1 species